CCUGGCUCAGGAUGAACGCUGGCGGCGUGCUUAACACAUGCAAGUCGAACGAAGCACUUAUCUUUGAUUCUUCGGAUGAAGAGGUUUGUGCUGAGUGGCGGACGGGUGAGUAACGCGUGGGUAACCUGCCUCAUACAGGGGGAUAACAGUUAGAAAUGACUGCUAAUACCGCAUAAGACCACGGAGCCGCAUGGCUCAGUGGGAAAAACUCCGGUGGUAUGAGAUGGACCCGCGUCUGAUUAGGUAGUUGGUGGGGUAACGGCCUACCAAGCCAACGAUCAGUAGCCGACCUGAGAGGGUGACCGGCCACAUUGGGACUGAGACACGGCCCAAACUCCUACGGGAGGCAGCAGUGGGGAAUAUUGCACAAUGGGGGAAACCCUGAUGCAGCGACGCCGCGUGAGCGAAGAAGUAUUUCGGUAUGUAAAGCUCUAUCAGCAGGGAAGAAAAUGACGGUACCUGACUAAGAAGCACCGGCUAAAUACGUGCCAGCAGCCGCGGUAAUACGUAUGGUGCAAGCGUUAUCCGGAUUUACUGGGUGUAAAGGGAGCGUAGACGGCUGUGUAAGUCUGAAGUGAAAGCCCGGGGCUCAACCCCGGGACUGCUUUGGAAACUAUGCAGCUAGAGUGUCGGAGAGGUAAGUGGAAUUUCCAGUGUAGCGGUGAAAUGCGUAGAUAUUGGGGGGAACCCCAGUGGCGAAGGCGGCUUACUGGACGAUGACUGACGUUGAGGCUCGAAAGCGUGGGGAGCAAACAGGAUUAGAUACCCUGGUAGUCCACGCCGUAACGAUGACUACUAGGUGUCGGGGAGCAAAGCUCUUCGGUGCCGCAGCAAACGCAAUAAGUAGUCCACCUGGGGAGUACGUUCGCAAGAAUGAAACUCAAAGGAAUUGACGGGGACCCGCACAAGCGGUGGAGCAUGUGGUUUAAUUCGAAGCAACGCGAAGAACCUUACCUGCUCUUGACAUCCCGGUGACCGGCGUGUAAUGACGCCUUUUCUUCGGAACACCGGUGACAGGUGGUGCAUGGUUGUCGUCAGCUCGUGUCGUGAGAUGUUGGGUUAAGUCCCGCAACGAGCGCAACCCUUAUCUUCAGUAGCCAGCAUUUUGGAUGGGCACUCUGGAGAGACUGCCAGGGAUAACCUGGAGGAAGGUGGGGAUGACGUCAAAUCAUCAUGCCCCUUAUGAGCAGGGCUACACACGUGCUACAAUGGCGUAAACAAAGGGAAGCGAGCCUGCGAGGGUAAGCAAAUCUCAAAAAUAACGUCUCAGUUCGGAUUGUAGUCUGCAACUCGACUACAUGAAGCUGGAAUCGCUAGUAAUCGCGAAUCAGCAUGUCGCGGUGAAUACGUUCCCGGAGGGUUACACACCGCCCG
rnacentral:rRNA from 1 species